GGGAGCUACUUUUAACUUAUAUCAGCUGAACGCAGAUCAAAUUUGGGAUGGAUAUGUCAAGCAAUCCACAGAUCACUGUCCUGAUGAGGAAUGAGUUGCUCAGACCUGCUUGCGUUCAUUUCAUACACCAAGAUAAUCACCUAGUGUUAGCAUACAGUGCUUUCUCUCAUCGUCACUUCAAAAGGUCUGCGUGUUACCUCCCUCCCUUCGGGACGGCCUCAGCCGCGGCUGUGCUGCCACACUCUGACCUCUCCAGCGAAAUACGUUUGACCCGAAAUAAAAUGGAUGAGAGAGGGGAAGGAGGAGGCUCAGGAGGCAGCGAAACGCAGCAGGUGCCCCCUCGCUUGGUCGUUGCCAGACGGGCAUGUGGCCACCGGUUGGCCAUCGAAGGUGUCCUCAAGGAUGUCACGGAGGCAACCACGCUUCGUGGUCUCGGAGGAGCAGAUGGCAACCAGCAGGCAGGUCUGGAGACCUCUCACCCCAGGCAGGUCUGGAGACCCACGCCAAACUCCACCACAGCACGGGAUGGUGAAAUGUUCUCUGCUCCUCUGGUGUCUCCACUGACUGCCCAAGAGCUGCAGCCAGCCCAAUAUUUAAAGCGCUGUGACAAAGUCGUAUCGCUGCCUCUGGUUCUUACCUUGUCUCAAACUUGGCAAUUAUUGGCCACUAUGAUUAUUUUUUCAUCAGCUUCCUUUGAAGGAGAAAAACCAAACCCCCCANNNNNNNNNNNNNNNNNNNNNNNNNCCCACCCUGAAAAACAAGCAAAAGAAACUCACAAAGAAUACACAUCACAUACAAAAAUAAACCAAUAUGCAUUAAAAGAGGCACUUGUAUAAAUAUACCUAGAAGUGGUUGAUUUUUUUUUCCCCCUUCCCGCAUUCAACUUGAAUCCUUUCCCAAACAUUAAAAAUAGACUGGUCUGAAGGGAAGCAGCAGAAACACGCUGUCACUUGGGUGCCUUUAACAUCAACCCUGCGUGUCCCCAGCUCUCCGAGCAGCUACCCGGCCGGUAUCCAUGUGAUGGGAGUGUGCCUCAGGAUCAUUUUGAAUAACCAGAAAUUUUCAUCUGAUUUUUUUGGGGGGAGAUUCACAUUAUUCACUAAAUUUGUAGGAUGGUGGCAGCAAACAACUAAGUUGGCUCAAUGAGGGCCCCGAGUACUCGAAGGGGUCAAAGGCUGGGAAGUGAUUUGGGGUACGCAGGCAGCACAAACCCAGCUGGUCGUGGCUUGUUGCUUUGAAUAUUGCAUAAGUGACUUGAAUGCUCGGUCUCUUUGGAUGCUGAAUGGUUUUAUGGCAGCUCUGCCCUGAAAGCUUUACAUGCCGGGGUCCUCGUGGACUGGCCUCUUAGGUGGUCACGUUCACUAAUAUUAAUAGUGCUGUUCGAUUGGGAUGGGAUUGUUCCCAGUAGUUGACUGUGCAAGAGCCUGCUGGAAGAUAAAGCAGCUGAAAACCUGAAGUCAGCAAAAGAAUAGGGCAAACAACUGAUAAGUGUCUGGGCUCCUCUUCCCAACUUGGCCAAGAGGACCUCUGCAGAAAGCUCUGCCAUUAGACACUAUUUCACUUCUCUUUUAAUUAUUUUUCCCAUGAGGAUAUGUACCUAUGGCAGGGAGGUUUUGCUUAGGUGUGGCAUGGGAGCAGACGCCCCAGGACCAGCAGCUGAUGCUCUGUGGGGCUUGGCAGGUGCUCCAUGCCACCGGACACAGCCGUGCAGUGGAGGUGAUGGCUGUUUUGGUGAGACCCAUGCGAAAAUGGCAGGCUUCUUGGCAUCACCAGUGCUGUGUGAUGCCCCACUGAAAGUGCAAUCUCUGGUGGUUGGUUUUGAGAGGCCCCUCAGCC
ensembl:lncRNA